rnacentral:rRNA from 1 species
GACGAACGCUGGCGGCGUGCUUAACACAUGCAAGUCGAACGGAAAGGCCCUGCUUUUGUGGGGUGCUCGAGUGGCGAACGGGUGAGUAACACGUGAGUAACCUGCCCCUGACUUUGGGAUAACUUCAGGAAACUGGGGCUAAUACCGGAUAGGAGCUCCUGCUGCAUGGUGGGGGUUGGAAAGUUUCGGCGGUUGGGGAUGGACUCGCGGCUUAUCAGCUUGUUGGGUGGGUAGUGGCUUAGCAAGGCCUUGACGGGUAGCCGGCCUGAGAGGGUGACCUGACACGCUGGGCUUGGGCUGCGGCCCGGCCCCCUCCGGGACGGGACGGUGGAGUAUAUUGCACUAUGGGCGGAACCCUGAUGCGGUCACGCCGCGUGCGGGAUGACGGCCUUCGGUUUGUAUUCCACUUUCGCCUGUGACGAAGCGUGAGUGACGGUAAUGGGUAAAGAAGCACCGGCUAACUCCGUG